rnacentral:lncRNA from 1 species
UUACCUUCCUUUCUUUCAUCUUUCUUCUUCUCUCUCGGAAUGAAUGGGUUUUGGAGUCCCGACCUUGUCCUUCCUAGUCCCAUUUUCUCACAGAAACGGGAUUGGACGGCUAGGACACCCUCUGUCCCACCGAAACUUAAAAUCUUGGCUAAAAUCAUAAGUUCCAUCUAAACUAGGCCAUGCAAGUUUGUUUCUAUUAAUAUUGAAACCAUAACAGCACAUUACCUCCUACAAUGACCUCACCGAACCCAAUGAUAUGCAAUAUUCUUCUCCAGAAAACCACAUCCUGUGACAAAUCUGGGGUCAUUAUUAAAAUAAAUACCUGAAAAGAAUCAAGUAGGCAACUGAAGCACGUAUACACAAAAAGCUCAUGUUAAAAUCAAGGUUUUAAAUCCCGUGAGAUAGGGGUGGUGUUGUUUCUCCAUGAAAUGGGAUGCCCCGCUACCCUGCCCUGUCCCGCGGCGGCCUUGGUCAUGCAUCCUAGUAGAUAUCCUCCAUCUCUCUUCCCUUCUUCCUUCCUUCUUUCCUUCCUUUCUUUUGUUCUUUUUCUUUCUUCUACCUUCCUUUGUUUCCCCUUUCCUUUUUCUUUCUUUUCUUAUCCUUUCCUAUAUUUUUUUUUAUUUUUCUUCUUCUUUCACUUCCCUUUCUUCCUUAUUUCCUUUCUUUCUUUUUCCUCCCCCCUUUCUUUCUUUACUUUUUCUUCCUCUUUCCUUUCACUUUUUUAUUUUCUUCAUUUUACCUUCCUUUAUUUCAUCUUUCUUCUUCUCUCCCGGAAUGAAUAGGUUUUGGAGUCCCGGCCUCGUCCUUUCUAGUCCCAUUUUCUCACAGAAAUAGGAUGGGACGGCCGGCCAGGACACCCUCUGUUCCACUGAAACUAAAAAUCUUGGCUAAAAUCAAACCAUAGCAGCACAUUACCCCCUACAAUGAUCUGACCAAACCCAACGAUAUGCAACAUUCUUCACCAGAAAACCACAUUCUGUGACAAAUCUGGGGUCAUUAUUAAAAUAAAUACCUGAAAAGAAUCAAGCAGGAAACAAAAGUUACACAAAAAAUCAGUGUUAAAAUCAAGGUUUUAAAUCCCAUGAGAUGGGGGUGAUCUUGUUUCUCCAUGGAAUGGGAUGCCCCGCCCUAUCCCGCGGCUGUCUUGGUCAUGCAUCCUAGUAGAUAUCCUCCAUCUCUCUCCCCUCUUUUUUCCUUCCUUCCUUCCUUCCUUUCUUUUGUUCCUUUUUUUUCUUCUACCUUCAUUUGUUUCCUUUCCUUUUUCUUACUUUUCUUAUCCCUUCCUUUAUUUUUUUUAUUUUUCUUCUUCUUUCGCUUCCCUUUCUUCCUUAUUUCCUUUCUUUCUUUUUCUUCCCCCCUCCUUUCUUUACUUUUUCUUCCUCUUUCCUUUCACUUUUUUCUUUUCUUCAUUUUACCUUCCUUUCUUUCAUCUUUCUUCUUCUCUCCUGGAUUGAAUGGGUUUUGGAGUCCCGACCUCGUCCUUCCUAGUCCCAUUUUCUCACAGAAACAGGAUUGGACAGCCAAGACACCCUCUGUCCCACCGAAACUUAAAAUCUUGGCUAAAAUUAUAAGUUCCAUCUAAACUAGGCCAUGCAGGUUUGUUUCUAUUAAUAUUGGAACCGUAACAGCACAUUACCCCCUACAAUGACCUGACCAAACCCAAUGACAUGCAACAUU